ACGCAUACGUGUGCACAGCCAUCAGGCCUGGAGGUGAAGCCCCUGACACUGCCCACUGGGCCCGGCCUGGCCUGGCAUCGCUGACCUCCCCAGCCCUUUGCAACCAUGUGGGGCUGGACCCCGCCCACGCCCAGCUCCCCGCACCCUGUGCUCUCGCCCGCCCUACGUCUCUGCCUGGAACUCCUUCCUGACCCCUGGAAAACCAGCCUGAGAGUCUCCUGGCAGGAAGUGUUCCCUGGUUCCUAGGGAGAGACAGCUGCUCACUGGUGGGAGGGCUCAGGCGUGGAGACCCCUAAGGCUAUGGGCUCCAGCUCUACAAGAUCCUUCAACAUCCUCAUCACUGGGCAGGCAUGGUAGUUGGGGCUCAUCCCCACAACUCUCACUCUGGGCACCAGAGUGGCUUGGCUGGUUAUCACCUUCUUCUGUGACCUGCUGCUGUUGUACGUGGACGAGGAAACCCAUUUCUCCUGGAGGACCAAGUCUGAGGAGGAGAGCUGCGGGCCUGCCUAGACCCUGGGCUAUACUUUGGAGGAUGGUGGCUGGAGACCCUCAUGUGCAGGCCUCCCCACCCCCACAUCUGGAUGCCCAGGUGCCUUAGAGGGGGCCCAGCACCUUCCCCCGCUGCUGCUGCUGGGAGCUGGAUGCCGUCACCAGGGUGGCCCUGGCACCCACUUGCUGGCCCAUUCCUGAGGCCUGUAGCCUUUCUCUGCUGGUUGGGGGUUCGGGACUGGGAAGGGUGGGAGCCCUGCCUUGGGGACUCAUGGAUGAAGCCCUAGCUGGACCAGGGCAGGGGUGUGGGGAGAAUUCCCCUGUUAGCUCCCAGACAGAUUGUCUGUUCCUCCCCCUACUCCAGCCUUGGCAGGAUGCUGCCUGGGGACCACAGAAGCAAGUUUUGUCUAGAGACCUGCAGGGGAACACAACGGCAGGGCAUGGGUCCAGUGGGGCUCCUGCUGGGUCUGGGUCUGGGUCUGGAGAGCGUUCUCUCAGCCUCUUCUCCAGUGUUCCCAGCAGCUCCCCACUCUCCAGCUGUCCCCACACUGGCUGUGGUCGACUCCGGCCAUCCCUGGCCCCCAGUCCUCCUCCCCCUGCCAGCACUCCCCUCACAGUAGAGCCCCUGCCCUCUCAGCAGCUCUGCCUGGGGGUCUGUGCAGCCAGAGUCCAAGGCAAGGGAGAAAGAAGCCUGACAGGAGGAGUUGUCUCAGCUGCUCUGGGGCUGGGUUCCUAGGGCAGGUUCCCUCCCAGGUCUGGGCCUCAUCCAUGGAGUGAGGAGUAUGGUGGGCAGAUGAUCCGACCCCCGAGGAGCCCAGGCAAGGACACAUGCACCUCUUGGGCCCAAACCUGCUCAGCUUGUGAGCACCAGCCCCUUCCUGGUGGCAGCCCUCGGGCUGUGGGGGGCUGGGAUAGGGGA